rnacentral:lncRNA from 1 species
GGGGUGCCCGCGCGCAGGACGGGACGCCAGGGUUUGUGUGGGGGCAGCUCGGAGAGCCGGAACUGAAAGACCAGAAACCAGCCUGCCCUAGUCAAAGAAAGUUAGGGCCCAACCAGCCUCUCCCCAAGAAGCAGGGGGUAGGGAGGAGGUCCCAGGGAAGAACCUGGUUGCCAAAGUCUCGGCCAGUUGGAGAAGAGAUGGGUCUCCCGAGGAUACCCAAGCCCAAGCUCUACACUGUCCCAAGAGUCUCUGCCCUCAUUCCCCUUCACCAGGUUGCUCAACCCUCCAUCAGACUGUUAGGUCAAGGGUGGACAAACAGACCAACCGGGAUCUGGAUGGCCCCUGGGCAGUACUGACUUCCCCUACCAUUCCCAUGGCAAGAAAAGGGAGUGAUUCCACUAGCAGACUCCCCUACCCUGCAGUGAGACAGCCUGUAGGAAGGUGAGACUCAGACCCCAAGGUUUCUGCUUUUGCUUUGUUCCUUCGAGAUCUCCAUUCCCCCAUGGGAGAGAAACCUCUCUGUCCCACCUGCCCUCCCCUCCCAUCAGCUUUCAGAUUCUCCAGCUGCUCCUCUUCUGAGACUCACCCAGUCUCAUGCCUCCAUUAGCCUCAACUCCCGACCCAUGGCCUGUGGUGAGAGGUGCUAACAACAUGACCUGCUUUCAUCUUGACCUUCCCAGCCCACCCAGAGAAAAGGGAAUCUUGGCUAAAAAAAGGCUGGAAGAGGGGAGAACCCUGGCACUGCGGGUGGGGCUGGGAGGAGCCCAGGCAACCUUACUGGUGAGAAUCUCAUGGCUCUUCAAGCUGACUGCUAAGCUGGAUGCGUAGGGGAAAGCAGAGAAAAGGUGAUUUACUGGGACACAGAGACACAGGCUGGAAGAGAUAGCAUGUGUUUCCUUAAAAUUUGAAGCAUUUGGCUGGGCACAGUGGCUCACACCUGUAAUCCCUGCACUUUGGGAGGUAAAGGCAAGAGGAUUUCCUGGGCCCAAGAGUUAGAGGCUGCAGUGAGCUAUGAUUGUGCCAUUGUACUCCAGCCUGGGAGACAGAAACCCCCUCUCUUAAAAAAAUAAAAAAAUAAAAAAUGGAACCAUUGCUCUGAGUUUCUAAUAGGGGGAGU